GUAAACGUAGCUUAACUUAACUAAAGCAUAGCACUGAAAAUGCUAAGAUGGACUUUUAGUCCCAUUUACA
rnacentral:tRNA from 1 species